AGGGAAUAUUGCGCAAUGGAGGAAACUCUGACGCAGCGACGCCGCGUGAGCGAUGAAGGUUUUCGGAUCGUAAAGCUCUGUCCUUGGGGAAGAAGGUCUUCGGACUUGACGGUACCCAAGAAGAAAGCCCCGGCUAACUACGUGCCAGCAGCCGCGGUAAUACGUAGGUGGCAAGCGUUGUCCGGAAUUAUUGGGCGUAAAGGGUGCGUAGGCGGCUUUUUAAGUCAGAUGUGAAAGCCCGCGGCUUAACUGCGGGAUUGCAUUUGAAACUGGGAGGCUUGAGUAUCGGAGAGGGUAGUGGAAUUCCCAGUGUAGCGGUGAAAUGCGUAGAUAUUGGGAGGAACACCAGUGGCGAAGGCGACUGCCUGGACGAAAACUGACGCUGAGGCACGAAAGCGAGGGGAGCAAAC
rnacentral:rRNA from 1 species